GAUGAAGAACGUAGCGAAAUGCGAUAAGUAGUGUGAAUUGCAGAAUUUAGUGAAUCAUCGAAUCUUUGAACGCACAUUGCGCCCCCUGGUAUUCCGGGGGGCAUGCCUGUCCGAGCGUCAUUACAACCCUCAAGCUCAGCUUGGUGUUGGGCCCCGCCGCCCCGGCGGGCCCUAAAGUCAGUGGCGGUGCCGUCCGGCUCCGAGCGUAGUAAUUCUUCUCGCUCUGGAGGCCCGGUCGUGUGCUCGCCAGCAACCCCCAAUUUUUUUCAGGUUGACCUCGGAUCAGGUAGGGAUACCCGCUGAACUUAAGCAUAUCAAUAAGCGGAGGA
rnacentral:misc_RNA from 1 species